rnacentral:rRNA from 1 species
GUGGAGCAAUCCAUGAGUAAAGUGGCGACCGGGUGAGUAACACGUGACUAACCUACCCUCGAGUGUGGAAUAACAUCGGGAAACCGAUGCUAAUACCGCAUAACAUCGCAAGAUCAAAGGAGUAAUCCGCUUGAGGAGGGGGUCGCGGCUGAUUAGCUAGUUGGCGGGGUAACGGCCCACCAAGGCGAAGAUCGGUAGCCGGCCUGAGAGGGCGCACGGCCACACUGGAACUGAAACACGGUCCAGACUCCUACGGGAGGCAGCAGUGGGGAAUUUUGCGCAAUGGGGGAAACCCUGACGCAGCAACGCCGCGUGGAGGAUGAAGCCCCUUGGGGUGUAAACUCCUUUCGACCAAGACGAUAAUGACGGUACUGGUGGAAGAAGCACCGGCUAACUCUGU